AUUGAACGCUGGCGGCAGGCCUAACACAUGCAAGUCGAGCGGAUGAAGGGAGCUUGCGCCUGGAUGCAGCGGGGGACGGGUGAGUAAUGCCUAGGAAUCUGCCUGGUAGUGGGGGAUAACGUCCGGAAACGGGCGCUAAUACCGCAUACGUCAUGAUGGAGAAAGUGGGGGAUCUUCGGACCUCACGCGAUCAGAUGAGCCUAGGUCGGAUUAGCUAGUUGGUGGGGUAAAGGCCUACCAAGGCGACGAUCCGUAACUGGUCUGAGAGGAUGAUCAGUCACACUGGAACUGAGACACGGUCCAGACUCCUACGGGAGGCAGCAGUGGGGAAUAUUGGACAAUGGGCGAAAGCCUGAUCCAGCCAUGCCGCGUGUGUGAAGAAGGUCUUCGGAUUGUAAAGCACUUUAAGUUGGGAGGAAGGGCAGUAAGUUAAUACCUUCCUGUUUUGACGUUACCAACAGAAUAAGCACCGGCUAACUUCGUG
rnacentral:rRNA from 1 species